UACGAAGGGUGCAAGCGUUACUCGGAAUUACUGGGCGUAAAGCGUGCGUAGGCGGUUUGUUAAGUCUGUCGUGAAAGCCCCGGGCUCAACCUGGGAAUGGCGAUGGAAACUGGCGAGCUAGAGUACGGUAGAGGAGAGUGGAAUUCCCGGUGUAGCAGUGAAAUUCGUAGAUAUUGGGAAGAACACCGGUGGCGAAGGCGGCUCACUGGCUCGUAUCUGACGCUGAGGCGCGACAGCGUGGGGAUCAAACAGG
rnacentral:rRNA from 1 species